UACAGAGGGUGCGAGCGUUGUUCGGAAUCAUUGGGCGUAAAGCGCGUGUAGGCGGUUAUUUAAGUCGAUUGUGAAAUCCCUGGGCUCAACCGAGGAAGUGCAGUCGAAACUGAAUAGCUAGAGGAUGGCAGAGGAAGGUGGAAUUCCAAGUGUAGAGGUGAAAUUCGUAGAUAUUUGGAGGAAUACCUGUGGCGAAGGCGGCCUUCUGGACCAUUCCUGACGCUGAGACGCGAAAGCGUGGGGAGCAAACAGG
rnacentral:rRNA from 1 species